rnacentral:rRNA from 1 species
AACGUAGGACGCAAGCGUUAUCCGGAGUUACUGGGCGUAAAGCGCGGGCAGGCGGCUCGCAAAGUCUGAUGUGAAAUCUCCUCGCUCAACGGGGAGAGGCCAUUGGAAACGGUCGAGCUGGAGGGCAGUAGAGGUAGGCGGAAUUCCGGGUGGAGUGGUGAAAUGCGUAGAGAUCCGGAGGAACACCAGAGGCGAAGGCGGCCUACUGGGCUGCACCUGACGCUGAGCCGCGAAAGCCAGGGGAGCGAACGGG